rnacentral:rRNA from 1 species
GGUGAACGCUGGCGGUAGGCCUAACACAUGCAAGUCGAACGGCAGCACAGUAAGAGCCUGCUCUUACGGGUGGCGAGUGGCGGACGGGUGAGGAAUACAUCGGAAUCUACUUUUUCGUGGGGGAUAACGUAGGGAAACUUACGCUAAUACCGCAUACGACCUACGGGUGAAAGCAGGGGAUCUUCGGACCUUGCGCGAUUGAAUGAGCCGAUGUCGGAUUAGCUAGUUGGCGGGGUAAAGGCCCACCAAGGCGACGAUCCGUAGCUGGUCUGAGAGGAUGAUCAGCCACACUGGAACUGAGACACGGUCCAGACUCCUACGGGAGGCAGCAGUGGGGAAUCUUGGACAAUGGGCGCAAGCCUGAUCCAGCCAUACCGCGUGAGUGAAGAAGGCCUUCGGGUUGUAAAGCCCUUUUGUUGGGAAAGAAAAGCAGCAGGUUAAUACCCCGCUGUUCUGACGGUACCCAAAGAAUAAGCACCGGCUAACUUCGUG